GAGGCCCCUGCCGUCUCAGAUUAAUUACAACAUUGUGGUGAAAGGCAGGGGAGAAAGAGACAUAAACAGGGAUUUUAUUUAUUUAUUUGACAGAGAGAGAGAGAUAGAGAGAGAGCACAAGCAGGGGGAGUGGCAGGCAGAUGGAGAGGGAGAAGCAAUCUCCCCACUGAGCAGGGAGCCCAAUCAGGAUCUGAUCCCAGGACUCUGGGAUCAUGACCUGAGCCGAAGGCAGAUGCUUAACCGACUGAGCCACCCAGGCACCCCAGACCUGCUUCACUUUUUAUUCUAGCCUAUAAAUCUCCAAAAUUUAGUCAUUAUUCUCCACCUUGCCCCCAACUGCAGCUAUCCUGGUCCUUCCUAAUUGGACUUUCUGCCUCCAAUGGGUGCCUCUCCAACCCAUUCUCCAUAGUGUAACCAGGGUGAUCUUAUAAAGUAAGACAUGCAUUUGAGAAUGCCAUUUCCUUGCUUAAAACUGCUGCAAGCAAAAUGUCCAAAAUCUAAAAGACUGUGAGGUAAUUUAUGAUCUGGACCUUUCCAAAUCUCUCAGGCUUCAUUUCUUGCUGAAACCUACUCACCCCAGCCCCCACUCUGACACUUCCCUCACCCUUGUCCCACACUGAACCACACUGGAAGUACAUUGAGCUUCAAUUAAUUGAACAUACUGUUCUCUCUCUCUCAACUCCAGACCUUUGCACAUCUAUUUCCUCUGCUUUAAAGACUCUUGCUUUCUUUCCCUAUGGCCUCAUCUGCAAUACACUCAUCUCCUGGAUUACUCCUACUCAUCCCUUAGAUCUUACUUCAAGUUUACUUUCUUGAAGUAUGGACUGUACAUUCCAUGAGAGAGGAAUUCAUCUAUUUUGUUCUCUAAUCCCAAGUGCCUGGCAUAGUGUAAAUACUCAAUAAACAUUUGUUGAACAACUCAGUAAAAAGUCUAUUUUUUCCAUUUGUUAAAAAGUUAUAAACAACAAGAGGUCUUUUUUUUUUUUUUUUAAGAUUUUAUUUAUUUAUUUGACAGAGAGAGAGAGAGAGAUCACAAGUAGGCAGACAGGCAGGCAGAGGGAGAGGGAGAAGCAGGCUCCCUGCUGAGCACAGAGCCCAAUGUGGGGCUCGAUCCCAGGACUCUGGGAUCAUGACCUGAGCCGAAGGCAGAUGCUUAACCAUCUGAGCCACCCAGGCGUCCCAUCAAGAGGUCUUAAUACUUAUAGUAAAUUAUUAACAGGGCCUCACUAUGUUGUGUUUUAUACUCCCCCAUUGCAUCAAGCAUUGACUCUUGAUUAACUUAUUAUAUUGAAUUAACAUUGAACUUUUCAAUUUUGUCUGUCUUCCUGUAAUGAAGUGUAAGCAACUUGAAUUUAGGGACUAUAUUCUGUAGCUUAUUUAGCUUUGAAUUCCCAAGCCCAGCACAAUCCCUGUCUUUAGGAGUGCUCAACAACUGCCUGUUUUAAUUAUUAUUUAUUUCCUUAUUUGAAUCUGCUAAACUUUGUUUCAUCUCCUAUCUUUUGUAUU